UGCCUAACCCCGUUGGUUCAACCCGGCGGAUAUGGUGCAAAGUCCAGUGAAGCGUAAAAAACCCGUCGUGGGGUUGCUUCACUGGCCGUAUCGGGAAACUGGUACGAGAGGUUUCGGCCUCU
rnacentral:sRNA from 1 species